AGGAUGAACGCUGGCGGCGUGCCUAAUACAUGCAAGUCGAGCGAAUGACGAGGAGCUUGCUCCUCUGAUUUAGCGGCGGACGGGUGAGUAACACGUGGGUAACCUGCCUGUAAGACGGGGAUAACUUCGGGAAACCGAAGCUAAUACCGGAUAAUAAAGAGAGACUCCUGUUUCUUUUUUGAAAGUCGGUUUCGGCUGACGCUUACAGAUGGGCCCGCGGCGCAUUAGCUAGUUGGUGAGGUAACGGCUCACCAAGGCCACGAUGCGUAGCCGACCUGAGAGGGUGAUCGGCCACACUGGGACUGAGACACGGCCCAGACUCCUACGGGAGGCAGCAGUAGGGAAUCUUCGGCAAUGGACGAAAGUCUGACCGAGCAACGCCGCGUGAGCGAUGAAGGCCUUCGGGUCGUAAAGCUCUGUUGUCAGAGAAGAACAAGUACCGGAGUAACUGCCGGUACCUUGACGGUACCUGACCAGAAAGCCACGGCUAACUACGUGCCAGCAGCCGCGGUAAUACGUAGGUGGCAAGCGUUAUCCGGAAUUAUUGGGCGUAAAGCGCGCGCAGGCGGUUCCUUAAGUCUGAUGUGAAAGCCCACGGCUCAACCGUGGAGGGUCAUUGGAAACUGGGGAACUUGAGUGCAGGAGAGAAAAGUGGAAUUCCACGUGUAGCGGUGAAAUGCGUAGAGAUGUGGAGGAACACCAGUGGCGAAGGCGGCUUUUU
rnacentral:rRNA from 1 species